UGGGAAUACCCUAGUCCCCUUGAGUUGUCC
rnacentral:piRNA from 1 species